UACGUAGGGUGCAAGCGUUAUCCGGAAUUAUUGGGCGUAAAGAGCUCGUAGGCGGUUUUGUCGCGUCUGCUGUGAAAACUGGAGGCUCAACCUCCAGCCUGCAGUGGGUACGGGCAGACUCGAGUGCGGUAGGGGAGAUUGGAAUUCCUGGUGUAGCGGUGGAAUGCGCAGAUAUCAGGAGGAACACCGAUGGCGAAGGCAGAUCUCUGGGCCGUAACUGACGCUGAGGAGCGAAAGCAUGGGGAGCGAACAGG
rnacentral:rRNA from 1 species